AACGAACGCUGGCGGCAUGCCUAACACAUGCAAGUCGAACGAGACCUUCGGGCCUAGUGGCGCACGGGUGCGUAACGCGUGGGAACCUGCCCUUAGGUUCGGAAUAACUCCCCGAAAGGGGUGCUAAUACCGGAUAAUGUCUUCGGACCAAAGAUUUAUCGCCUUUGGAUGGGCCCGCGUUGGAUUAGCUAGUUGGUAGGGUAAAAGCCUACCAAGGCGACGAUCCAUAGCUGGUCGGAGAGGAUGAUCAGCCACACUGGGACUGAGACACGGCCCAGACUCCUACGGGAGGCAGCAGUGGGGAAUAUUGGACGAUGGGCGAAAGCCUGAUCCAGCAAGGCCGCGUGAGUGAUGAAGGCCUUGGGGUUGUAAAGCUCUUUUACCCGGGAUGAUAAUGACAGUACCGGGAGAAUAAGCUCCGGCUAACUCCGUG
rnacentral:rRNA from 1 species